GGAAUCUUGGGCAAUGGGCGCAAGCCUGACCCAGCGAUGCCGCGUGUGUGAAGAAGGCCUUAGGGUUGUAAAGCACUUUCAGCAGCGAAGAAAUGCCGGGAGCUAAUACCUCCUCGGUUUUGACGUUAACUGCAGAAGAAGCACCGGCUAACUCCGGUCCAGCAGCCGCGGUAAUACGGGGGGUGCGAACGUUAAUCGGAAUUACUGGGCGUAAAGCGCGCGUAGGCGGUUUGAUAAGUGGGGUGUGAAAGCCCCGGGCUCAACCCGGGAAUUGCACUCCAAACUGUCAGGCUAGAGUAUGGUAGAGGGAGGUAGAAUUUCCUGUGUAGCGGUGAAAUGCGUAGAUAUAGGAAGGAAUACCGGUGGCGAAGGCGGCCUCCUGGACCAAUACUGACGCUGAGGUGCGAAAGCGUGGGGAGC
rnacentral:rRNA from 1 species